CAGUUGGCACUGAACAAGCGGCGCCCGGCGAUACCCCGUCGAAACCGGCCGGGCCCGGCGGCACGCAGGUGUCCUCCCUCGCACUGACCCAGCCUCCAUUCAUUCAAAAAAAAAACAUGGCGAAAACAGCACCACGGAGGCGGCCGCGGCCGCGGCCAGCGGCCACGCAUCGAGACGACGACGGCGACGCGAAUGAUUGGGAGGAGAGAGGGGCGUACGGCGAGGCGAUCCGGGCAGGGCGGAAGGCGACAAGGGGAAGUGGGCCGCGACAAGAUCCAUGAUCCGAGGAGAUGGAAAAUACAGGGAGUUUAGAGAAAGAUAUUUUUACAGUGAGAUAACAUUGGCCAAAGCUGGAUGUCUGCAAUGCUGCAGCCAAAGCUAUGACAUUGUCUAAACAGUACAUGUCAGCAAGUGGAACGCAGAACAGUUACUCUGUGAGAAGGUACCCAGAUGGGUCAUGAGAGCUGCUCAAUGCCUGGUGUUGGCAGUCAUGAUGUGGUGAGAUAUAAUUUCAAGACGACAAUGCCCUUAGGUUGGUGGAACAUCCAUUAUAAGGAGGAUUCGUAAUAAGUGGGGCAGUAAUUAGUUUGAUGAUGCUUUUUAUUUGGUCUGCCGUACCAGUCCACCAAUCCCUGUUAUACAUUUGGGUAUUAUCAGAAGAGCACAGUCACGUGAUGCACAUGUGAUGCCAUGGAUUCUUGGACGAAUGGCAUGAUCAUCGAUUCAUGGUGCCUGCUCUUGGCAUCUGACACAACAGCCUGUAGGUGCUGCAGGAAAAUGACAACAGCACCUUAAGUUAACGCAGCUAGCGCCCGACAACGUGUUAAUGAGAUAAACAAUGGAACACCCGAGACUGAAGAUUUUUUUUGGAAAGCUCACCAAGAGUGAAUGAUCAUUUUUGCAUCUUUUAGAUUGAUUGGUGCAUGGAAAGAAAGGUUCCCGAAGAUGCAUUUGGUUGACUGGCAGCAGAGAGGAGAAGAUUACUGCAUUUCUUGGAAGGAAAAGCGAGUGUUUCCCAAAUGACGCUAAGGCCUUAAAAGGAAGAUGACAAACAAACAUCUGCGGGGGAAAAUGUGCAGCUGAGGGGUUGGAUGUUGUGCAGGCAUGAGUUUUUUCCUUUUGCCCAAUCGAGCUUGGCUUUGGGAAGAAGAGAAAGGCGUUUGAUGGAGGCAGGUCCGUCCGUCCGUCCGUCCCUCAGGUGGGGAGAAGAGCCUGUGCUCCACCUGGCCAGUGAAGUGGUGGCUGGCUGCCCUGUCAAUGCCUUUGCCUUUUUUCACAAAAGAGGUAAAAAGGAGCUGUGCACUUGAAACUUUGAUGCUGGCAAACCUACACGUACCGGGCAUUAUGGGAGUACCUCCUGUCUGUGGAGCUUGUGAGAUUAUGCAGCAGCAGCAGCAGCAACAGCAACAGUCAAUUUGGGUAUAAGUAAAUCCUGCUGUGCAAUGCAAUGCACACUGAGCAGUGGGUGCCCCUUGUUCUUUUUCUGCAGAUCAAUGAUUGGGAGUUUUGAGGCAUAUGGUAGGUACUUUAUGGUUUCUUUUACCCUUAGGCGGCCGCUGUAGGGCACUAGCUGAGCUUGUGCCCCAGAUUGUUUGCAACACAGUUAAGCAGCAUGAGUCCAGGAACUGGGACUUGAGAGUGAGCAAUAUACUACUAUGUAGAAUUCUGCUGCGGCUGCAAGGCAAAAACAUUCCCUGUGCACAAGGACAAGUGUGCCUGUAUCAUCAUAUUGGAAGCAUGCGUUUGUUUAUUAAUAACCUCGCCAUGGAAACCGGUAAGCAGCAGGUGAGCAGGUUUCUUGUGCUCCAUGAAAUGAAUCUGGUCUGAGCUGUAGUGAUCCAGAUCCAAAACUAAAUUUGAAUCAUUUUGCAGAUCCCAAGAGCCUUGCCUUGGCUGUCCCAAGUACUCC